GACGAACGCUGGCGGCGUGCUUAACACAUGCAAGUCGAACGAUGAAGCCGGAGCUUGCUCUGGUGAAUUAGUGGCGAACGGGUGAGUAACACGUGAGUAACCUGCCCUUGACUCUGGGAUAACUGCGGGAAACUGUAGCUAAUACCGGAUACGACCCUCGGAGGCAUCUCCUGGGGGUGGAAAGAAUUUCGGUCAAGGAUGGACUCGCGGCCUAUCAGCUAGUUGGUGAGGUAAAGGCUGACCAAGGCGACGACGGGUAGGCGGCCUGAGAGAGGGACCAGCCGCACGUGGACGGAGACACGGCCGAGACUCCUACGGGAGGCAGCAGUGGGGAAUAUUGCACAAUGGGCGCAAGCCUGAUGCAGCAACGCCGCGUGAGGGAUGACGGCCUUCGGGUUGUAAACCUCUUUUAGCAGGGAAGAAGCGAAAGUGACGGUACCUGCAGAAAAAGCACCGGCUAACUACGUGCCAGCCGCCGCCGUAA
rnacentral:rRNA from 1 species